AAUGACUCUCGGCAACGGAUAUCUUGGCUCUCGCAUCGAUGAAGAACGUAGCGAAAUGCGAUACUUGGUGUGAAUUGCAGAAUCCCGUGAACCAUCGAGUCUUUGAACGCAAGUUGCGCCCCAAGCCUUUUGGCCGAGGGCACGUCUGCCUGGGUGUCACAAA
rnacentral:rRNA from 1 species